rnacentral:tmRNA from 1 species
GGGGGUGUCUUGGUUUCGACGGGGAUAUGUUUGGUAUGGAGUGCAGUCGGGUGAUUUCGUUAUCAAUCACAAAAAAAUAACUGGAAACAGAACACAAAACUUUGCUUUUGCUGCUUAAUUAAAGCCAUAGUCCCACUAUUUGGGAAGCAAGCCAUCACUUAAAACUGGGUCUCUAAGUUUUAAACUGGUGCAAUAAGAGAGAAUAAGGGUAAUUGAUAUCUAUAAGAUUAUCACGAAAAUUAAAUAGAUUAGUUUAAGUUAGAUUCGUUUAUUGGUCUUAGCUUAAAUGAAACUUAUCAGUAAACUAAACUGUAGGACUCUAUAUGGAAUGAUCUUCGGACGCGGGUUCAAUUCCCGUCACCUCCACCA